CUAUGGAAUAGGUUUGGCAGCAUGGAGAUGAAGUUCCUGAAUGCUCUGUGGUCUUGUCUACUUUAAGGCUUCCGCAGGGCUGGCAUCAGAACAGUUGUCCUAUUGGGGUCUCAGCAGUCCCUCAGGUGCCUCCUUCUGGAUUCUCUUCUGAGCCUACUCCUUCUGAUGGCUCCUUGUCCCACAGAUAAGGGCAUGGGCAGCCCCUGUCUUGGCUUGUGCCUUUUUCUCUGCCUCUGACUGGAAGCAACAGGCAGGAGAUUGGGGGAGGAAGCCCUGCAGACGUUUCUCGCCUGGCUGCCGGAACGCCGGGUGAAGAAGCCACGCUCUUGCUCCAGAAGGAAAGCAGAAGGAGCCCAGCAGCACCACUGCAGAGCCUGCUCAGAACUUCGCUCCCUCUGCCACAGCGUGUGCAGCUUGCCAGGUAAAGCCUGGAUGAGAACACCCAGUGCUUUUCCCAAGAUGAAUGAGAUCAGCACAUAUUCAGGAAAGGAAAAAAAAAUCCUGCUAAUAUAUGGGAUGAUUUUUAACCCAGAGUUAAAGUGUUAGCUUACAAGUUCCUCUGCCUUAGGGCUCGGGAUUUCUGGGGUAGAUUUCAUGGUGAGGGUGGAAGUCUCUCUUCUCCGUUUGAUGCUGCUGUUAAAAAAGCAAGCAAAUGUUGUAGCCACAGGGUAGGCAAGAGCCCUGUGCUCAGCAGUGUGAGAUGUAGGACACGCGAAGGGUAUUGUCACAAGCUGUGGAGAAGCCUUUGCAACCUGCACACUGAUGAUUUUGGCUCAAGCCCAUAGCUCGCUAUUGCAAGCACCACAUGGCUAGAGCAGAGGGACUCUGACUCUGUUGAUCUUUCCUGGGCUAGGUUGUUCACAUUAAGCUCUCUUCCACAUGGCUGCUUUGCACCACUGCAAAUCUGCAGGGUGCUUUUCUGCUGCCAGGUCCUUUCCAUCAAGCGUCUCUCAAAACUCAUUUCCUGAAGCCCCAGUCAGGGAGGCAGGGAAAGGGCAUGAGCUGCUUGAGGGACUUGGACAGGGGCUAAAACUUUCUGGGAGCAGGAAGUAAAAUGUUGUCAUGCACAUCCGUGGUAUUUGUUCUUGUGUUGGUGGGAUCAUGAACUUGUUGGUGAAAGAGGAGAAAGGGAUGCCAUGCCACCAGAGAGAUGUGCACAGGCUUGAAAAGUGGUACCACAUGAACCAAAUGAGGCUCAACAAGGCCAAGUGCAGGGUCUUGCACUUGGG